rnacentral:snRNA from 1 species
GCUCACUUCGGCAGCACAUAUACUAAAAUUGGAACAAUACAGAGAAAAUUCGCACGGUCCUUGCCCCAGGAUGAUCCAACUGGCAUAACUGAAUUUC